AAGCUACAGUCUCAGAUUGAUUUAUAGUUCAUCGUUGGGAAUGAGUUCGCUGCUCAUUAUGCUGCUCAUGAUGAUGUUUCGGAUGUUGCGGCCCUAGCUGAAAUUGUUGAAGCUCGCCCUGAUGCCAGUAUCCUGUAGCACUCUGUCACUUUUGAAUCAGCAUGUUCGGCGAUGGAGUUUGCAGAACAUCAGCAAAAGCGGCUGGCCACCCUUCAACCGUUGGUCCAAGCAACGUGCUUCUCUAAAUCAGUUGCAGUGCGGGCAGCUUCUAGUGGGUUGGUGAUGAAGAACUUUGUCUUGUCCUACAAACGAAGUGGUGAGUCAGCCAGUUCCAGACUGAUGAAGGAGCAAGUCGGAGGAAAUGACGACCUGGAUCCCAUCGUCAACCAAAGUGUACAUUUUUCGGUGUUGAUAUCAUCUUAGUAAAUACCUCGAACAGUCUGUGUAAUUUUAUGUCAUAUUUUCUGUCCUAUCUGGUGUUAUGGACGAUUUCUCAUCAAUUUUCGGAUUUUGCGAUAUUGUGUGUUAUCAAGGAAAAUUGUGUUUUUGGCAAGACCUAUUCAGGCAAUUGGAAAACUGAUGUUACUAAGUGAAAAUAUAAGGCUGUACCUAUUCAAACCUGAUGUCAGAUUGGGCUGAUGUUGAAAUUAAAUUUUUGGGCCUAACUGUCCCCAACCCCCUUAAC